rnacentral:lncRNA from 1 species
UAGACAUAGGGACUGGGGUUUGUGUGAGGUCACCCAGGUGAUUGCACAGCGCCAGCCCUCAAAGCCAGGUCUAGGGCUCCAUCCCACUUCCCAAGAUGCCCUGAAGUCUUGAGGUGUCUGCUAGGAAAGCGUUGCAUUACUGGGCCAGGAAAGAAGCUUCAUAUUACAACAGGCUGACAUGUUUUUAGCUCAAGAGUGGAGACUUCUGUCAAUCAUGUGGGAUCAUGAAUGCCUGAAAGGUUGGAGGUCCAUGCGUUGACCAAGAAGAACUCCAGCUGCUUCAGAUUGCUUGAUUGUCACUGAAAAGUACACUCAAUAUGAAGAAGAUUGCAGUUAACUGGAGAUUAAAAUUAGAUGUCUUAAUAAGGCAAAUCAUUUCAA